UACAGAGGUCUCAAGCGUUGUUCGGAUUCAUUGGGCGUAAAGGGUGUGUAGGUGGCGCCGUAAGUCGGGUGUGAAAUUUCGGAGCUUAACUCCGAAACUGCAUUCGAUACUGCGGUGCUUGAGGACUGGAGAGGAGACUGGAAUUCAUGGUGUAGCAGUGAAAUGCGUAGAGAUCAUAGGAAGACCAGUGGCGAAGGCGGGUCUCUGGAACUCAGUCUGAGCACUGA
rnacentral:rRNA from 1 species